AUACGUAGGGGGCGAGCGUCAUCCGGAUUUAUUGGGCGUAAAGCGUGUGUAGGCGGUUUGUUAAGUUUAAGAUUAAAGCCCGAGGCUUAACCUCGGCUCGUCUUAAAAACUGGCAGACUUGAGUGCAGUAGAGGCAAGUGGAAUUUCUAGUGUUGCGGUUAAAUGCGUAGAUAUUAGAAGGAACACCAGUGGCGAAGGCGGCUUGCUGGGCUGUUACUGACGCUGAGACACGAAAGCGUGGGGAGCAAAUAGGAUUAGAUACCCUAGUAGUCCACGCCGUAAACGAUGAGUACUAAGUGUCGGGUAACCGGUGCUGAAGUUAACACAUUAAGUACUCCGCCUGAGUAGUACGGUCGCAAGGCUGAAACUCAAAUGAAUUGACGGGG
rnacentral:rRNA from 1 species